GCCACCCCCGUGUCACACUCUGGCCCUGCACCUGUCCCUCUUGCUCGCUGGCUCUGUCUCCGUGGGCACCAAAAAUAACUUUUUGGCCAGCUCUUCCUUUUCCUAAAUUAGUCAUGGGCCAUGUGGAAAUGUCACCCUGCCACCAUCCCGGGGAGCCACAGAGGAAAUAAUUAAGCCAGGAUUUUUUCCUUGCUCUCUCCUCUCCUUCAUUCCCCAAUUCCCAAAAAUUUGAUCGUUUCAAACUCAUCCAGGGAAGGAAUUUUUCUCUAAACUCCUGGAGGAAAAAAAAAAAAAAAGGAGAAUUAAAUUUUAAUUUUUUGAUAUUAUUUUUUUCCUUUUCAGUCCAUCUGUUCAGAGAAAGGAAUGUGGAGUGAACCUUCCCGGAAUUUUUGGAGCAGUUUGUUUUUUGUAAAUAGACACAAAUUCCUAAACUAUUAUCUCUCCAGAGAGCCUCCUCCUCCCCACUUAACUCACAUAAAAUAAAGAUUUUUAAGUUCCAGGGUAAAAUGAUAAUUCCAGAGCAAUCUGGAGCCUGGAUUCCUGAGUGUGAGCCAGCCCAGGGAAGGUGAAUUUCCAGCCCUUGCAGGGUGUCUCCCUCAGCUGACAAAGGGAACAACAUCCAGACCACGAAUUUCCCUCAUAUUUUCCACAUGAAGCCAAAUCCUAAAUAAAAUCUACUUGACAGGAGGAAGGCUUGGCUGCAGGAUUAGUCUCAUUUUAAUAGAAUAUCCACAGAUUUC